GUACGGCGAGUGAACCGGGAUGAGCUCAAAUUUGAAAUCUGGCGUCUUUCAGGCGUCCGAGUUGUAAUCUAUAGAGGCGUUUUCCGCGCCGGACCGCGUCCAAGUCUCUUGGAAUAGAGUAUCAAAGAGGGUGACAAUCCCGUACUUGACGCGACAACCGGUGCUCUGUGAUACGUUCUCAACGAGUCGAGUUGUUUGGGAAUGCAGCUCUAAAUGGGUGGUAAAUUCCAUCUAAGGCUAAAUAUUGGCGAGAGACCGAUAGCGAACAAGUACCGUGAGGGAAAGAUGAAAAGCACUUUGGAAAGAGAGUUAAACAGCACGUGAAAUUGUUAAAAGGGAAACGAUUGAAGUCAGUCGUGUGAAAGGUAUUCAGCCGUCUCUGGCGGUGUAUUUGCCUUUCACGGGUCAACAUCAGUUUAGUCCGGUAGAAAAAGGCUGGAGGAAGGUGGCACCCUCGGGUGUGUUAUAGCCUCCUGUCACAUGUGCCGGAUUAGACUGAGGAACGCAGCUUGCCGCAAGGCCGGGGUUCGCCCACGUACAAGCUUAGGAUGUUGACAUAAUGGCUUUAAACGACCCGUCUUGAAACACGGACC
rnacentral:rRNA from 1 species